GGUUUUCCUGGGUGCAAACUGGCCUUUUUAUAUUACUAAAGAUCUAAUGUAGAAUGUGUCAUGUUCGUUCUGUAAGGGCUGCUGUAAUUGGCGUAAAGCUGUAGCAUAUACCCUGCCAUUGAUUGAUUGAUUGAUAGUUUGUAUAUUCUUGUGUUUGUAUUUGUGCAGAUAUGAUUGUGUGAAAUUGGCAAAGCAUAAUUAAUAAAUAAAU